UUGAUGAUUAAUUAGGGGUGAUAGGCUUUUCAAGUAUGGUGAUAUCUUGAUUUUGGUGAAAAGUAAUAGUACGGUUACGGACCAAGAGUGCUAAGAUUUUUGGUUCACAUUAAUAUUGUUUAUAGAAUAAUAUCGAUUUAAUAGUCAGUAGGUUUAUAAAUAAUUAUAAAUAUUUGAUUGUUGUGUAAAUUAACCUUAAGUAUUUAAUGAGAAUAAAUAUAUAUAAUGUUGACAUUAGUAUUACAGAGGCAUUUAUAGUGAACUCGGCCACUAACCUUCAACUGUUUACCAAAAACAUAGCCAUGUGUUACAUACGUGGUGAUUUCUGCUCCAUGAGACAUUAAAUAGCCGCAGUACCCUGACUGUGCAAAGGUAGCGUAAUCAUUUGUCUUUUAAUUGAAGUCUUGUAUGAAAGAAUAUAUGGGGGUUUUCUUUACCAUUGGUGCAAUUAGAAAUUACUAAGCGAGUGAAAAGACUCGCAAGGGUACAUUAGACGAGAAGACCCUAGAAAUUUUUAAAAAAAUUUUGUUGGGGCAACAUAGUAACGGAAUUUACAAUAUGUAUAUGAAAUUAGUUGGAUAAAUAAAAUUACUCUAGGGAUAACAGCAUAAUCAAAAACUGUUUGUGACCUCGAUGUUGGAUUAGGAAGCUGUAACUCAAAAG
rnacentral:rRNA from 1 species